rnacentral:tRNA from 1 species
CCCUGGGUGGUGCAAAUGGUUAACACACUUGGCUGAGAACCAAAGGGUUGGUGGUUUGAGUCCACCUGGAGGCA